CUGUGGUGAUGAUUGUAGAUGUGACUGACCUGGCAUUGUUGAACCCAACUCUGGCCAGGAAAUGACCUCACUUAAUCUUCUCUCUGAGCAG